GAUGAACGCUGGCGGCGUGCCUAAUACAUGCAAGUCGAGCGAACAGACGAGGAGCUUGCUCCUCUGACGUUAGCGGCGGACGGGUGAGUAACACGUGGAUAACCUACCUAUAAGACUGGGAUAACUUCGGGAAACCGGAGCUAAUACCGGAUAAUAUAUUGAACCGCAUGGUUCAAUAGUGAAAGACGGUUUUGCUGUCACUUAUAGAUGGAUCCGCGCCGCAUUAGCUAGUUGAUAAGGUAACGGCUUACCAAGGCAACGAUGCGUAGCCGACCUGAGAGGGUGAUCGGCCACACUGGAACUGAGACACGGUCCAGACUCCUACGGGAGGCAGCAGUAGGGAAUCUUCCGCAAUGGGCGAAAGCCUGACGGAGCAACGCCGCGUGAGUGAUGAAGGUCUUUGGAUCGUAAAACUCUGUUAUUAGGGAAGAACAAAUGUGUAAGUAACUAUGCACGUCUUGACGGUACCUAAUCAGAAAGCCACGGCUAACUACGUG
rnacentral:rRNA from 1 species